rnacentral:rRNA from 1 species
UACGUAGGGUGCGAGCGUUAAUCGGAAUUACUGGGCGUAAAGCGUGCGCAGGCGGUGAUGUAAGACAGGUGUGAAAUCCCCGGGCUUAACCUGGGAACUGCAUUUGUGACUGCAUCGCUGGAGUGCGGCAGAGGGGGAUGGAAUUCCGCGUGUAGCAGUGAAAUGCGUAGAUAUGCGGAGGAACGCCGAUGGCGAAGGCAAUCCCCUGGGCCUGCACUGACGCUCAUGCACGAAAGCGUGGGGAGCAAACAGG